rnacentral:lncRNA from 1 species
CUUUAACCACAUCAUAGACCAUCAGAUCUUCUUAUAUCUUUUUUUUUUUUUUUUUUGACAGAGUCUCGCUUUGUCACCCAGGCUGGAGUGCAGUGGGGUGAUCUCGGCUCACUGCAGCCUCCACCUCCCAGGUUCAAGCGAUUCUCGUGCCUCUGCAUCCUGAAUAGCUGGGAUUACAGGUGUGCACCACCACAUCCUGCUGAUUUUUGUAUUUUGAGAGAUGGGGUUUUGGCACGUUGGCCAAGCUGGUCUCGAACUCCUGGCUUCAAGCAGUCCACCCACCUUGGCCUCCCAAAGUGCUGGAAUUACAGGCGUGCACCACCACGCCCGGCCAGAUCUUCAUAUAUCUAAGAUCCUGUCAAGAAGACAUGGUAAACCUCAUCAUGAUCAAGAAUGAGACUUUGCUUGCAUCCAGGUAAGUAAUGACGUGGGCCUUAAGCAAGCACUCAGAAAACAAUCUGAUCAUCAGAUCUAUAAUUAAGUGUGGAUGGUGCUUCUAACUUUUGUGUUACCAUGGUUUUUUUGCAGGCAUUCAGUUAAGAAAUGAUGUUUUCCCAACCAAGGCUAGUAAGCAUUAGCCCUUAUUAUUUUACAGUUUAGAUAUAAUGUGUAGUAUCUAACCAAGCUGGGCAUAGUUGCAUGUGCCUAUAGUAUGAGCUACUCUGGAG